CUUACUGAUUGAUCGUGCUUGCACGGACUUGACGUUGGUUUACCAGCGAGUGGCGGACGGGUGAGUAACACGUAGGUAACCUGCCCCAAAGCGGGGGAUAACAUUUGGAAACAGAUGCUAAUACCGCAUAACAAUUUGAAUCGCAUGAUUCAAAUUUAAGAGAUGGAUUCGGCUAUCACUUUGGGAUGGACCUGCGGCGCAUUAACUUGUUGGUAGGGUAACGGCCUACCAAGGCUGUGAUGCGUAGCCGAGUUGAGAGACUGAUCGGCCACAAUGGAACUGAGACACGGUCCAUACUCCUACGGGAGGCAGCAGUAGGGAAUCUUCCACAAUGGGCGCAAGCCUGAUGGAGCAACACCGCGUGAGUGAAGAAGGGUUUCGGCUCGUAAAGCUCUGUUGUUAGAGAAGAACGUGCGUGAGAGCAACUGUUCACGCAGUGACGGUAUCUAACCAGAAAGUCACGGCUAACUACGUGCCAGCAGCCGCGGUAAUACGUAGGUGGCAAGCGUUAUCCGGAUUUAUUGGGCGUAAAGCGAGCGCAGGCGGUUUGAUAAGUCUGAUGUGAAAGCCUUUGGCUUAACCAAAGAAGUGCAUCGGAAACUGUCAGACUUGAGUGCAGAAGAGGACAGUGGAAUUCCAUGUGUAG
rnacentral:rRNA from 1 species